GGUUGUGGCUCAGCAGUAGAGCACUUGCCUAGCACAUGUGAGGCCCUGGGUUCAAUUCUCAGCACCA
rnacentral:tRNA from 1 species